CGGCCGCGGUAUCCUGACCGUGCAAAGGUAGCAUAAUCACUUGUUCCCUAAUUAGGGACUAGAAUGAAUGGCCAAACGAGGAUUCAACUGUCUCUUAUUUUUUAUCAGUGAAAUUGACCUUUCAGUGAAGAGGCUGAAAUACUAAAAUAAGACGAGAAGACCCUAUGGAGCUUAAAUUAAAAGUUUAAUUUUACUCUUAUUAACCUAAUGGUUUAACACAAAAAUUUUAAACUCUAAAUUUCGGUUGGGGUGACCUCGGAGAACAAAAAAUCCUCCGAAUGAUUUUAACAUAGACCAACAAGUCAAAGUAACCCAAAGAUCUUAUUGACCCAAAAAAUUUUUGAUCAACGGACCAAGUUACCCUAGGGAUAACAGCGCAAUCCUAUUUUAGAGUCCAUAUCGACAAUAGGGUUUACGACCUCGAUGUUGGAUCAGGACAUCCCAAUGGCGCA
rnacentral:rRNA from 1 species